rnacentral:rRNA from 1 species
CCUACGGGGGGCAGCAGUGAGGAAUAUUGGUCAAUGGCCGGGAGGCUGAACCAGCCAAGUCGCGUGAGGGAAGACGGCCCUACGGGUUGUAAACCUCUUUUGUCAGGGAGCAAGGUGCAGGUCGGGACCUGCUGUGAGAGUACCUGAAGAAAAAGCAUCGGCUAACUCCGUGCCAGCAGCCGCGGUAAUACGGAGGAUGCGAGCGUUAUCCGGAUUUAUUGGGUUUAAAGGGUGCGCAGGCGGAGGCACAAGUCAGCGGUAAAAUCGCGGGGCUCAACCCCGCUCCGCCGUUGAAACUGUGUCCC